UCUAAUAUGGCAGACUAGUGCAAAGGAUUUAAGCUCCUUAUAUAAAGCUUACUUAAACUUUUUUUAGAA
rnacentral:tRNA from 1 species